rnacentral:lncRNA from 1 species
AGUGGAUUUCAGGAUUCCUCUAAGAAGCUUUGGAAUGCCAGAAGAUAACACAAGUGAGAAGAAAAAAUAAAACAAGAGGAAGGAUAUACUUCCCAUAAGGGGACAAAGUACAGCCGCAGCGUCCUCCGCUUGGGCCAUGGAACAGCUGCAGGUUUUGCCCUGAUUACCCUGGUGGUAAAGUCUGAUUGGUUAUGAUUCCCGGUGUCCAAAAGAUAAACACGGGCUGUGCAGUGGAGCCACACGCAUGCCUGUGCACGGCCACGCCAGGUCAGAAACCCAGCCCCUCUGCUUGGGAGGCACGCAGGGCUCCGGCUGAAGCCUGAAGCUUGGGAUCCUCAGAGCACAGACGUCCUAGGGCUGUGUGAAGUUAGUGAGAUGAGGUGUAUGGAGAGAGCUCGGAGAGGAGAGGGAGUCUCGAUUGCUGUCGCCGUGGCUCAGAGAUGCCUGCAAGAGAUGUCCGAUGGAUCUGAUGGAGAGGUGGCAGGCGAAAUGCACCUGGCCUCAGGGUCAGGGGCUGUGAAUACAGUAGCAGUUGUAGCUAUGUGGUCAGAGUGGACUAGGACGGUCCUUCCACCAAGAAGGUUGGGCCUUCCUGCUCCUCGUUGUCCAGCUGCAGAAACUGAUCUCAUCCCUCAGGGCUUGGCACAACUGCCCCUUCCUCCUCACAUUCCCAAAUAUACCUACCCCUCCCCAACUCAAUCCUCCUCACCAGACUGUGGUUCCCAGAUGACAGGGCAGAGUUGGACUCACCUGUGUCUGCCAGGCCAGCUCACCAUGGGGGCAGGUCCCAAGAGGCCUCUGGAUUUGGACCAACUUCCAGUGUGACCUUGAACAAGCCCUUAGCCUCCCUCAGCCUCCGUUGCAUGAGGGGUUGUGCUGGCACAUCUCAGAGCAGGUGGUGCUACCUGGUGAGUUGAGGGCUCUGUCCAUCAUCUUUGUCACUGUAAUGCUGGGUAACAAAUGAACACGAAACAAUGAGUGCUCG